rnacentral:rRNA from 1 species
GACAGAGGUGCCGAGCGUUAGGCGGAAUCACUGGGCUUAAAGCGCGUGUAGGCGGCUUGGCAAGUUGAAUGUGAAAGCCCACGGCUCAACCGUGGAAGCGCAUCCAAAACUGCUUCGCUCGAGUCUCGGAGAGGAAGGUGGAAUGCUUGGUGUAGAGGUGAAAUUCGUAGAUAUCAAGCAGAACACCUGCGGCGAAGGCGGCCUUCUGGACGAUGACUGACGCUGAGACGCGAAAGCGUGGGGAGCAAACAGG